rnacentral:rRNA from 1 species
AUGCUACCACACGCUCCAAACCCUGCAACAUAUAUGUCUGUCACACUUCUCCCAAGUGUUCAUCAUCGAUCUCGCCUACACUGCACGAAGCUGCCGGAGCGCGGGCCGGAGCUGGCUCAGUCGCUGUCGCUGUCGCUGCUGCUGCUGCCGUGGCCGUCGUCGUCCUUGUGGCCCUCGCCGUGCUUCUUGUCCUUCUUCUUCUUCUUGUCCUUCUUCUCCUUGUGGUCGCCGUCCUUCUUGCCGUCGCCGCUGAUCUUGUCCUUGAUCUUCUCCAUCAUGCCCUCCUUGUGCUCGCCGUCCUUCUUGUGCUCCCCGUCCUUCUUCUUGUGCUCCUCCGCCUUCUUGUGCUCCUCGUCCUUCUUGUGCUCGUCGCUGCCGCCGCCCAUGUGGAGCUUCUCCUCGAUCUUGUGCAUGAUGCCGGCCAUGGCGCUGCUGUUUCUGGCUACUUCUCUCCAAGGAAAAUGGCGAUGCUAA